UACGUAGGGUGCAGGCGUUAAUCGGAAUUACUGGGCGUAAAGCGUGCGCAGGCGGUCUGUUAAGACAGGUGUGAAAUCCCCGAGCUCAACUUGGGAAUUGCGCUUGUGACUGCACGGCUAGAGUGUGUCAGAGGGGGGUAGAAUUCCACGUGUAGCAGUGAAAUGCGUAGAUAUGUGGAGGAAUACCGAUGGCGAAGGCAGCCCCCUGGGAUAGCACUGACGCUCAUGCACGAAAGCGUGGGGAGCAAACAGG
rnacentral:rRNA from 1 species